GUUUUUGUAGUUUAAAUAAAACAUUGGUCUUGUAAACCAAAAUAGAGUAACAUUACUCCUUAAACU
rnacentral:tRNA from 1 species